rnacentral:lncRNA from 1 species
CACACAUCCAUGAACAAUAAGUAGACUAAAGAAAUAAGCAAAAAGGAAACAGAUAUUUUGAGACAAACAAAAAGGGAAACAUAGCAUCCCAAAAUGUAUUGGGGCAGCAAAAGCAGUUCAAAAAGGAAAGUUCACAGGUAUAAUUAUCUACAUGAAGGAAAAAGGAAGAUAUUAAUAAACAACCAAACUUUCUAUCUCAACAAAGUAUGAAAAGAAGAACAAUCUAUUUAAUAGAAGUAAGGAAUCAGCUAACAUCAAAGUAGAAGUAAAUGAAAUAGAGACUGGGAAACAAUAGGAAGAUCAACAAAGUUAAGCAUUGUUUUUAUAAGUGGUCAACAAAAUUGACAAAUAAACUAAAGAAAGGAGAGUGAGGGUUUGAUAAAACCAAACCACAUGAGGAGAUAUUACAAUUGAUGCCCACGCAAGACAAAAUGAGACUCAAUAAUUACACACCAACAAAUUGGAUAAUCUAAAAGAAGUGAAUAAAUUCCUAACCUUAUCAAUAUGGAAUUAUGAAGAAAUAGAAAAACUGAGUGAAUCAGUGACUAAGGAGAAUGAAUCAGUAAUCCAAAAUCUCUCAACAAAGAAAAGCCCAAAUCAGAAGGCUUCCCUGGUGAAUUUUUCCAAAAAUUUAGAAAUCAACUAAUUUGAUCCUUCUCAAACUCUUUCAAAAUACUUCAAAACUCAUUUUAUGACACCAGCACUUCUCUAAAACGAAAGCCAGGUAAGAAUACU